GAGAGAGCAUGAACGGGGGAGGGGCAGAGAGAGAGGAAGACACAGAAUCAGAAGCAGGCUCCAGGUUCUGAGCCAUCAGCCCAGAGCCUGAUGUGGGGCUCGAACUCACGGACCGCGAGAUCCUGACCUGAGCUGAAGUCGGACGCUUAACCGACUGAGCCACCCAGGCGCCCUAAUUCUUUUUCUUUUAUAUUACACUGGGCCUUCAGAGUCUGGCUUUUCAGUUAUUCCUUCUCUAGCCUUGUCUUUCCUCCCUCUAUCUCUUUUGUAGUUGGAUAUUUCUUGCUGUCUUUCCCUUCCUCCUUUUUCUCCAGCCACCCCUUAGCCAACUUCUAUAUCUGUACCUCUAGCAAGAGUGACUCUGUGCUGGAAAUAAAUGUCUUCCUAGCCUAUACAUGAAAGUAAUAAGACUAGAUUUUCUUGGGAUUGAAAAAGAGAUUGUGUGUGUGUGUGUGUGUUAAAAAACAUAACUUUAAAAUUUAUCAUUUUAACUGUUUAAGUGUACAGUUUGGUAGUAUUAAAUAUAUUCACAUUGUGCAACAGAUCUCUAGAACUUUUUCAUCUCGCAACACAAACUGUAUAUUUACUAAACACUAAUUUCCUCUCCCAGCUCCUCCCAACUAAUGUCAUCAACUUUUCUACUUUCUGUUUCUUUAGAAUUUGAUUACUAUAGGUCUUUCAUGUGAGUAGAAUGAUAACAGUAUUUGUCCUUUUAUGACUGGCUUAUUUCACUUAGCAUAAUGUCAUCCAUAUUGUGGCAUGUGGCAAGAUGUCCUUUUUUAAGGCUACAUAAUACUGUGUGUAAAUACCAGAUUUUCUUUGUUCAUCUAUCUGUGAACAUUGAUCUUGUUUGUACGUUUUGUCUAUUGUGAAUAAUGCUGCAGUGAACAUGGGUGUGCAAUUAUGUCUUCAAGAUCCUGAUUGAAUUACUUUGGAUAUAAAUCCAGAAGUGGGAUUGCUAGAUUAAGUGAUAAUUCUAUUAUUAUUUUUUGAGAAACUUCUACACCAUUUUUCAUAAUGGCUGCACUAUUUUACAUUUCCAAUAUUUUAGAAGGUUCCACCUUCUUUGUAUUCUUAUCAGCACUUGUUAUUUUAUGUUCUCUUUAUAGUGCCCAUCCUAAUGGGUGUGAGGUGCUAUCUCAUGGUUUUGAUUUGAACUUCUCUUAUGGUUAGUGAUGUUGAGCAUAUUUUAUAUGCUUUGUGGUCACUUGUGUAUCUUCUAUGGAGAAUUGUCUAUUCAGGUCCUUUGCUGAUUUUUAAAAUCAAGUUAUUUUUUGUGGUUGAGUUCUUUAAUAUGUUCUGCAUAGUAACCAUUUUUCAGAUAUAUGAUUUGCAAAUAUUUUCUAUUCUGUAGGUUACUUUUUCACCCUGUUUGGUGUUUCUUUUGAUGCACAGAAGUUUUUAAGUUUGAUGUAGUCGUAUUUUUCUGUUUUUACUUUCAUUGCCUGUGCUUUUGGAUUCAUAUCUAAGAAAUAAUUGCCAAAUCCAGUGUCUUAAAGCUAUUUCCUUAUAUUUUAUUCUGGGAGUUUUAUACUUUUUGGUGUUACAUUUAAGUUUGUAAUCCAUUUUGAAUUAAUUUUUGUGUAUGUAUAGGCCCACGAUUUUUCCUUUGCAUGUGAAUAUCCAGUUUCCCCCCACACCAUUUUUUUUCAUGUGUUUAUUUAAAUUUGUUAGUUAACAUACAGUGUAUUAUCAGUUUGAAGUGUAGAAUUCAGUGAUUCAUCAGCUAUAUACAACAGCCAGUGCUCAUCACAACAGGUGCCCUACUUAAUACCCAUCAUCUAUUUAACUUAUUCUCAUGCCCACCUCCCCUCCAGUAACUCUAAUUUUGUUCUCUAUAGUUAAGAGUCUGUUUCCUACUUUGCCUCUCUUUUUCCUCCCAUGUUCAUCUAGUUUUUUUUAAUUCCACAUAUGAGUGAAAUCAUAUGGUAUUUGUCUUUCUCUGACUGACUUACCUCUCUUAGAAUAAUAUUCUCUAGCUCCAUACACAUCUUUGCAAAUGGCAAGAUUUCAUUCUUUUAUAUUAGCUGAGUAAUACUCCGUUGUAUACCACAACUUCUUAUUUUUUUAAAAAUAAUUGUUAACACACAGUGCAGUAUUGAUUUCAGGAGUAGAAUUCAGUGAUUCAUCAUUUACAUACAACAACCAGUGCUUCUCACAAGUGCCCUCCUUAAUACCCACCAUCUAUCUAGCCCAUCACUCACCCUCCUCCCACCGUCAACCCUCAGUUUGUUCUGUAUCAUUAAGAGUCUCUUGUGGUUUAUUACCCCCUCUUAAUCUUCCUCCUCCCUUCCCAUAUGUUCAUCUGUUUUGUUGCCUAAAUUCCACAUAUGUGUGAAAUCAUAUGGUAUUUGUGUUUCUCUGAUUGACUUAUUUCGCUUAGCACAAUACAUUCUAGCUCCAUCUACAUCAUUGCAAAUGACAACUUUUUAGCAAUGCUUUUGCAAUGCCAGAUCAUUCUUUUUGAUGGCUGAGUAAUGAGUAAUUAUAUAUAUAUAUAUAUAUAUAUAUAUAUAUGCAUACACACACACAUAUAUAUAUAUACAAUGAGUAAUAUUACAUUGUAUAUCUAAACCACAUCUUUAUCCAUUCAUCAUUGGUAGACAUUCUGUCUUUCUCCAUAGUGUGGCUAUUGUUGAUAAUGUUCUAUAAACAUUGGAGUGCAUGUACCCCUUCAAAUCUGUAGUUUUGUAUCCUUUGGAUAAAUAACUGAUAACGUAAUUGCUAGAUGAUAGCAUAGUUCUAUUUUCAGUUUUUUGAGGAACCUCCAUACUGUUCUUCAGAGUGGCUGCACUAGUUUGCAUUUCCCACCAGCAGUGCAAAGGGGUUCCAGUUUCUCUGCAUCCUCAUCAACACCUGUUGUUUCUUGUGUUUUUAAUUUUAGCCAUUCUGACAGGUGUGAGGUGGUGUCUCAUCCUGGUUUUGAUUUGUAUUUCCCUGAUGAUGAGUCGCGUUGAACAUCUUUUCAUGUGUCUGUUAGCCAUCGGGAUGUCUUCUUUGUAAAAAUGUCUAUUCAUGUCUUCUGCCCAUUUCUUAACUGGGUUAUUUGUUUUUUGGAUGUUGAGUUUGAUAAGUUCUUUAUAGAUUCUGGAUACUAACCCUUUAUCAGAUAUGUCAUUUGCAUAUCUUGUUACCUUCUCCCAUUCCAUAGGUGGCCUUUUAUUUUUGUUGAUUGUUUUCUUUGCUGUGCAGAAGCUUCUUAUCUUGAUGAAAUCCCAAUAGUUCAUUUUUGCUUUUGUUUCCCUUGUUUCUGGGGACAUGUCCAGUAAGAAUUUGCUGUGGCUGAUGUCAAAGAGGUUGCUGCCUCGGGUCUCCUCUAGGAUAUUGCUGGAUUUUCUGUCUCAUAUUUAGGUCUUUCAUCCAUUUUGAAUUUAUUUUUGUGUAUGGUAUAAAACAGUGAUCCAGUUUCAUUCUUUUGCAUGUUGCUUUCCAGUUUUCCCAACACCACUUGUUCAAGAGACUUUUUUUCUCACUGGAUAUUCUCUCCUGCUUUGUCGAAAAUACUUGACCAUAUAGUGAUGGGUCAAUUUCUGGGUUUUCUAUUCUGUUUCAUGGAUAUAUUUGCCUGUUUUUGUGCCAGUACCUUACUGUCUUGAUGACUAUAUCUUUGUAAUAUAGUAUGAAGUUCAGAAUUGUGAUGCCUCCAGCUUUGUUUUUCUUUUUCAGAAUUUCUUUGGCUGUUCAGGAUCUUUUGUGUUUCCAUACAAAUUUUAGGAUUGCUUGUUCUAGCUCUGUGAAAAGCUCUGGUGAUAUUUUGAUACUGAUUGCAUUAAAUGUGUAGAUUGCUUUGUGUAAUGUAGACAUUUUAACAAUAUUCUCCCAGGCCAUGAACAUGGAAUAAUUUUCCAUUUUUUUUGUGUCCGCUUCAAUUUCUGUCAUAAGUGUUAUGUAAUUUUCAGAAUACAGAUCUUUUACCUUUUUCACUAGGUUUAUUCCUGAGUAUCUUGGUUUUUGGUGCAAUUGUAAAAGGGAUAGAUUCCUUGGUUUCUCUUUCUGCUGCUUCAUUAUUGGUGUAUAGAUAUGCGACAGAUUUCUGUAUGUUGACUUUGUAUCCUGCAACUUUACUAAAUUCAUGUAUCAGUUCUAGCAACUUUUUGGUGGAGUCUUUUCAUUGUUCUACAUAGAGUAUCAUGUUGUCUACGAAUAGCAAAAAUUUUACUUCUUGCCAGUUUGGUUGCUUUUACAGUAAAACCUUGGAUUGCAAGUAACUUGUUUUGCAAGUAUUCUGCAAGACCAGCAAACAUUUCUAAUAAAUUUUAACUUGAUAAAUGAAUGAUGUCUUGCAAUACGAGUGGUAUGUGAUGCCGAACAUCACGUGAUCACAACUGAGCCAAUGGUUCUUCUCUUUCUCUCUCUUGCUGCAGGAUUGUGGGUGAUUGUCUCCCAUGCUUGGAUGCUCAGUCUCAGGCCAUGGUGUUUGGCAAAAAUCAGUGAUUUUUCAGAAUAUUGGAAGGUGCCCACAACUGGCACUAGUGUAUUUUUUUUGUCACUCCAAAGUACCUGUGAACAGUCCUUUGCUUUUCCAUAUAAGAGUAAGCUUAGGAAUGCAUUGCUUCAUUCUAGGUCAGGCUAAGUAUAGUUAUAGACCCUUUCUUCUGCUGCCUUAUUGCCAGAUGCACUAAAUACAGUAUAUGACAAGUUUAUUAAUACUUACUGUAGUCAACAUCUGUGUGAGUGUAUUCAGUGGGCCCCAUGCAGAAAAAGAUUCCGUUGAGCCAAUAAAUAGCAGUGGUUUUAUUAGUGAUAGUGAAAAUAGUCCUACACAAUAACCUGCCUCUCUCUUGUCUCUCCCACACCAGCCACAAAGAUUUCCAAAGAUUGUACUGCAUCACAUUGCCAAUGUAGAGAAAUUGCCUAUCACUAGCCUGGGCUGUCCCCUUAUCCUCCGCUGCAAGAACUUCUGGGUGGCCCAUUUUGUUUUAGACUCUGACAUUGUGUGCCAUGAUGUUUAUAAUUUGCUGCUCAAUCUUUCUCAGCCAGCAUUACCUGAAGAUCUGUGUGCUUUUUCUUAUAAUCCCAAAUCCUCAAAAGAGAUGAAGGAAAAUGGGUGGAAACUGAUUGACCCAAUAUCAGACUUUGGGCGUAUGGGAAUACCCAACAGGUACUGGAUCAUAACAGAAGCCAACAGAAACUAUGAGAUUCUGGUGUGGUAUGUAUAACCACUGUGAUAAAGGGCUGCAGUGCUUAACAGCCUCCUGGAAAUUAAGAAGCAGAGAUAAAUGCUGGAGUCAGAUAUGCACAAACUAGAAAAGAAACUGCAAGCCCAUGAUGAGCCACCAAAAGAAGUCUGUACAUGCUCUCAAUUAGGGAAUUUAUUAUCUCAGCAUCUGGGAAGUUCUUUGACCAAUCCUCUUGACUUUAUGGGUAUUGAUGGAUACCUGAACACCUUGAUGGAGAAUGGCACCAUAUCCAGUGAAGGAGGCUUCCAGGCUCAGAUGGAUCAGGUGAAAAGACAGUGUGCAGACUUUCACCAUGACUGUUGUGGGAUCAUAGGCAGCCUUAGGGCCAUAAACAUUUCUGGGGAUAUGGGAUUCUCUGGAAACAUGGGCAUCUCUGAAUCGAGGGGCAUCUAUGGGGCCACAGGCAUCUCUGGCAACGUGGAUAUCUCUGAGACUAUGGACUGCUCUGAAAACAUCAGCAUCUCUGGGAGCAUGGGCAUCUUUGGGGACACAGGUAUCUCCAAGGCCAGCACAAAAGAAGCAGGCUGCUGUAAGCAACGGUGAGCUACUUAUCUGUUUCCAUGCUAGGUGUACCUAUGGCACCCACAAUGAUCCUUGUCCCAAAAAGGCUAUGCUUCUUUUUCUGUUGGUUUAAAUGGGUGAGUCUGGGACACCCCCCUCCCACUUAAGAGUCUGGAAGGUGAUUUAUGGCCCUUACUGAUUAAGCAACCAGUAUAUGCAUAUCAGGCAGCCCAGAAUGUAGGCAAGAGAAAAAAUAUAUUAUUUUUCUAGAAUGGGAUUUAACUUGAGAAAUGUUGCCUUCCAGCUGAGAUAGUAGGCUGAUUCCACUGUUCCAUUCUCCUUAAUGAUCAACCUCCCCUACUUUUCCACCCUCACGGCUAUAGCGUGAGAACAAAGUGGUAAUGUUGUCACAGUUGAGAAUUAAGACCCUGUCGAGAGGAAAGAGAUGGUGUGUAGCAGGUAACUGACUUGCAGAAUGGCUUAAAAGGAAAUUUUACUUUUUGAUGUGUUCAGUUGUAAGAUGUAAGCUAACAUUAUUCCCAAUAGAGACCCCAACAUUUGCAUGAGAAAUAAGUCAAAAUGAUCCUUAACUGUUAGCAUGGGUGCAUGGAUGCUUGGUGGUUUAGAACAUAUAAGGAAAUAGUUUUCUUAAAUUAUAACAUUUGCUCUCCCCAACCGACACCCCAAUUAGGUCUCAUAAUACUCAGCCAAGUCCCUUUUUCAUAGAUUUCCCAUAGAUAAACUUGCAUCCACUAAAUUCUAAGGCAAUCAAUUCCAAGUUAGUGGUAUCUGAAUUAAUAACACUGAUUAAUGGCAUUGUCAGCAUCAUUUUGGGAGACAACAGAAGGCUCAGUGCUUUAGACCUGGCUUAAACAUGGUCUAUGUGCUAAUCUAAGUUUUCCUAAAACAGGCCUCUUCUUAGGUCUUUUUAUGAAGACCAGUGGUUUUCCUUCUGUAAACAUCACAUAAGCUUUGUGGACUUUUAGACAAAAUUGACACUACUUUUAAAAUAUGGUAGGUUUAUCACUUGUACUACUGUACACAUUUGAAAAAGUUUAUUCUUAGAGGAGACCCAAAUACUCCUGGGGGAAGUGAUAUAUUUCUUGUCAAUUAAACACCAGAUUUUCCCUUUGGGGUUGAUAGGCUUGCUGUACACUUUCCUUUUGAAUAUUCAGUCAUGCUUUACUCAGUUCUACAUGCUUGGGUAGGAUAGGCCUCAGGAAGUUUGGGUCAUGUACUAUACAUAUUGUCAGCAUUUUCAGAACUCCCAUUGCCAACAGAAUCCAGGUCUUCACCCAAGAUGUCUAUUCCAAAUACUUUAUAUCUGGCUCAAGCUCAACUAGAGAUGUCUUGGGGUGCCUGGGUGGCUCAGUUGGUUAAGCAUCCAACUUUGGCUCAGGUCAUGAUCUCACAGCUCGUGAGUGCGAGCCCCAUGUCAGUGUCUGUGCUGACAGCUCAGAGCCUGGAACCUCCUUCAGAUUCUGUGUCUCCCUCUCUCUCUCUGCCCCUCCCCUGCUCAUGCUCUGUCUCUCUGUCUCUCAAAAAUAAAUAAACAUUUAAAAAUUUUUAAAAAUAGAUAUCUUCAUGAAGGAGCCAUCUCUGUUGCUACCACAUCCAGUUGUAAACAUAGACAUUUCUAAAGGAUCACUGUAUUAGUUACUUUUCUUUAUAAGAAAGCCUAUAAAAAGUUGUUUAAGAGUCUGAGAUUUAUUUCUACAGACCUAUACAAGAGCAGUACAUAGUACCAAACCUUAUUUCCUAGAUCUAAAACAAAGUUAAUCAACAGUGAAAAGGUCUUUUUCCAUGCAGUUUUAAACUGAGAAGUGAUAAAGAGCAACACUGGUAUUUCAAAAGUAAAAAUAAAAUUAAAAAAAUACUAUUUUGUUUUUUUAGGAUCAAAGGCCAUGGAAUCAGUUUCAGCCUAAAGAUCUAUAAGCUCAAUUUGGUCUUUUAUUAUUAUCAUUUUUUAUUCCCCAACAUGUCCUAUUAUCGCUUGUAUAUAACAGACAUGGAACUAAGGAAUAACUUGUGAAAAUUCCCCAUUUUCUCUGAACACUAAACACCUUGCUGAUUUACAGUUAGAUUUGACAUAUCUGAGAGAUGAAAAAAUUCAGUGGAAUCUAAAUACUUAUGCACUGGUAAAAUCCAGUAGCUAUCUAUAGUUAGAAGCAUAGCAAUAGAGAGGAGACUCCUGAAGAAAAGUUGCUGGGUACUAAAAAAGAUGGUCUAUUACUUACUUCCAUUUCAUACCCUCAUACAGUAACUAUAUUGUGAAUGAAAUGUGACUCCCUCUCAUACUGCCCUACCCUUCUAGUUCCCUGAGCAGAAAUUCCAUUCUUAUGUGACUGUCCCACUUAAAUAAGAAGGCAUUCAACCACCUGCCACUGUCUCAUCCACUAAUCUGACCUCUGCCUGUUCCCUACACAAAUUGACAAACCUGGGUGUCACUGAUUAUCUUUUUUAAGAUGCAGGUUCUGUACCUGUGCUUGUGGCCAUACUCUGAUUCUGUUUGGACACUUUUUUUUUAAGUUCAUUAGUUAUUUACUUAAUUUAUAGAAUUUCAGAUUUCUCCCAGUAAUAAAUAAAACAAUCAUAAAUAAUAAACCUCAGUAACAGCUAAUAGUCUUUUUAAUGAAGAAAUUCAGGGAUGGGGUUUGCUGUAUGAAAUACAACUGAAACUCUAUCUGGAACUAAAAGGGCAAGUAAAGCUUAUGGUGCAUAUAUUGGGCAUAGGUACCUUUGGAAAGUGACCCUAGAAAUCGUGUUCAAUUACUACCAAGUUGUCAUUGCCUGUCAACAUGCAUGGAUACCUUUUGUCUGAGACACACCUUAUACUUUACUGAAAGUAAAAUCUUUCCCUGAACACUUAAAACCAGAAUGAACCUGAGUCUUUUUAAGUGGUAUUUUUCAAACCAAAUUAGUAAAUAUUUAAGGUUAGCCUUAAUUUAGCAGAAAGAGAAAUUUGUAACUAUGUCAGAUCUUUGUUACAUACUGGCUUUUGUUAAACACAUAACAUCUUUUCAUGAUGCUGUUAAGCUUUGAUACAUCACUGGAAAAUCUUUCUACGAGAUUUUAUAAAGUAGCCUUUUUUCCAAACAUUGUAUAGGAAAUGUAAAUUACCUUUAAGAAAAAUACUUUUCUCAAAAUGACAUAGUAUGCUUCA